UAUUUUCAGUUAUUUACACAAUUAUUUCGUUUUUCUUUCCGUUCACACAUAAAAGGCAUACACUGAAAUGCCUCCAAAUUUCUGAACAUUAUAAACAGUUUCGCUUUUAUCGCAAAAUUCUUUAUGUAUAUACACACAUACAUAUGUGUUUUUCUUCGGUUCAACAAAAAAGUAGUAGAAAACGUUUUCAGCGCGAAAGUAACCAAACUGUGCACUACACACACGCAUACAUGCACCGACAUACAGAAGAAGCACGCAAGAAUUUACCAAAGUACGCAUGCUGGUCAUAUAUUUGUCUCGCUUGUACUCAUGCCGCUACAUGGGCAAUUCCGCAUCAGUGUUGCAAUGCGUGUAAGUGAGAUGUCUUGACAAAUGGUUACUUUAAAUCGUUACUCGGUCACAAAUGGCAGCACCUAAUCGUGACAAGAUGCUACUACAUAAAAAGCAACUCUGCUCGCAAAUAAGCAAUAUGUUUGUUAUUGUUUCUACUGGGAUGUAUUAUAAUUAUGGCUACGGCAUCGCUUAAGUAUCAUUAGGAUAGGAUUUCUUCUUGUUCCUACACAUUCCAGGUGAACUUAUGGUUAAGAAUGUAAAUGGAUUAAAUAUUAAGGAACCUAACUCUACAAGUUAGUACUAAUAAACUUGGGGAAAGGUAUUUGUAAAACUUGUCAUUGAUAUGAAUAAAAUAAAGGAAAAA